GAGCUUGCUCCCUGAUGUUAGCGGCGGACGGGUGAGUAACACGUGGGUAACCUGCCUGUAAGACUGGGAUAACUCCGGGAAACCGGGGCUAAUACCGGAUGGUUGUUUGAACCGCAUGGUUCAGACAUAAAAGGUGGCUUCGGCUACCACUUACAGAUGGACCCGCGGCGCAUUAGCUAGUUGGUGAGGUAACGGCUCACCAAGGCGACGAUGCGUAGCCGACCUGAGAGGGUGAUCGGCCACACUGGGACUGAGACACGGCCCAGACUCCUACGGGAGGCAGCAGUAGGGAAUCUUCCGCAAUGGACGAAAGUCUGACGGAGCAACGCCGCGUGAGUGAUGAAGGUUUUCGGAUCGUAAAGCUCUGUUGUUAGGGAAGAACAAGUGCCGUUCAAAUAGGGCGGCACCUUGACGGUACCUAACCAGAAAGCCACGGCUAACUACGUGCCAGCAGCCGCGGUAAUACGUAGGUGGCAAGCGUUGUCCGGAAUUAUUGGGCGUAAAGGGCUCGCAGGCGGUUUCUUAAGUCUGAUGUGAAAGCCCCCGGCUCAACCGGGGAGGGUCAUUGGAAACUGGGGAACUUGAGUGCAGAAGAGGAGAGUGGAAUUCCACGUGUAGCGGUGAAAUGCGUAGAGAUGUGGAGGAACACCAGUGGCGAAGGCGACUCUCUGGUCUGUAACUGACGCUGAGGAGCGAAAGCGUGGGGAGCGAACAGGAUUAGAUACCCUGGUAGUCCACGCCGUAAACGAUGAGUGCUAAGUGUUAGGGGGUUUCCGCCCUUUAGUGCUGCAGCUAACGCAUUAAGCACUCCGCCUGGGGAGUACGGUCGCAAGACUGAAACUCAAAGGAAUUGACGGGGGCCCGCACAAGCGGUGGAGCAUGUGGUUUAAUUCGAAGCAACGCGAAGAACCUUACCAGGUCUUGACAUCCUCUGACAAUCCUAGAGAUAGGACGUCCCCUUCGGGGGCAGAGUGACAGGUGGUGCAUGGUUGUCGUCAGCUCGUGUCGUGAGAUGUUGGGUUAAGUCCCGCAACGAGCGCAACCCUUGAUCUUAGUUGCCAGCAUUCAGUUGGGCACUCUAAGGUGACUGCCGGUGACAAACCGGAGGAAGGUGGGGAUGACGUCAAAUCAUCAUGCCCCUUAUGACCUGGGCUAC
rnacentral:rRNA from 1 species